rnacentral:rRNA from 1 species
UACAGGGGGUGCAAACGUUGCUCGGAAUCAUUGGGCGUAAAGCGCACGUAGGCGGUUCGUUAUGUCGGAUGUGAAAGCCCUUGGCUUAACCGAGGAAGUGCAUCCGAAACUGGCGAGCUAGAGUACGAAAGAGGAUCGCGGAAUUCCCAGUGUAGAGGUGAAAUUCGUAGAUAUCGGGAGGAACACCUGUGGCGAAAGCGGCUCACUGGACCACAACUGACGCUGAGGCGCGAAAGCUAGGGGAGCAAACAGG